rnacentral:rRNA from 1 species
UACUUUAUAAUUUUACUUUCAAAUCCUCCUUCAAUAAAAUUUUUCAUUUUUAUAUUCGUAUUAAAUAAUUUUAUUGUAACUCAUUACUACUUAAAUAUAAGCUACACCUUGAUCUGAAAUAAAUUAAUAUAAAAAUUUAUGAAAAUUAUUAUUCUUUUAAAAUAUUCUGAUAACGACGGUAUAUAAACUGAAUACUAAUUUAAGAAAGGUCCAACGAGGAUUAUCGAUCACAGAACAAGUUCCUCUGAAUAGACUAAAAUACCGCCAAAUUUUUUAAGUUUCAAGAUCUUAACUACUAC